rnacentral:lncRNA from 1 species
AGCAUGUCUAUUUUCAGUCGUUCCUUUAAUUUUCUCUGUUACUUACUACAACAAAAACGGUCUAUAGCGACACUUUUAAAUGUAGGUACAUGUCAAAAAAGUGCUGCUAGCUAAAAUUACCGAUACUUUUAAAAAGUGUUGCUAUAUGUGGGGUCGCUAGGUAUAUAGUGACAGUUAAAGAGUGUCGCUAUAACCUAAAAGAGUGCUGCUAAUUUACCAACAACUUAUUUAAGAAUUUAGCAACCGCCGAAACUCUAUCUCGUUGGUUGCGGUGGCGGAGGAGGACGACAGGAAUGACUCUUCGUCUAGAAUUUCAGUGGAUUGAGUGAAGAGAGAAAAAAAUAUGGUAAUUGAUUUUUCUUUUUCUUUUUUUUUUUCUAUUUGUAAUCGGGCCAAAUGGACUGGGUGUGGUGGGUUGAGUAGAGUAAUCUUUUAUUUUUGGUUGGAUUGGGCUUUAUAUUUAGGCAUUAGUAGAUGUUUCUUUAAGUUUUAACAUAAAUGAGAUACUUACUCAAAAGUGUCCCAAACAUGUGUCCCUAUAACCUUAUUUUGUUGUAGAUGCAGCUCACGUC